rnacentral:rRNA from 1 species
AGAGUUUGAUCAUGGCUCAGGAUGAACGCUAGCGGCGUGCCUAACACAUGCAAGUCGAACGUGAUAGGAUACUUGUAUCCUUGAAAGUGGCGGACGGGUGAGUAAGACGUAGGUGACCUGCCUCGAAGUGGGGGAUAACCAUUGGAAACGGUGGCUAAUACCGCAUGACUUAUCUUGGAUGGGAAUUGGGGAUAAGAAAGUUUCGGCGCUUUGAGAGGGGCCUACGGCCGAUUAGCUAGUUGGUGAGGUAACGGCUCACCAAGGCGAUGAUCGGUAGCUGGUCUGAGAGGACGAUCAGCCACACGGGAACUGAGACACGGUCCCGACUCCUACGGGGGGCAGCAGUGAGGAAUAUUCGGCAAUGGGGGGAACCCUGACCGAGCAACGCCGCGUGGAGGAUGACGGUUUUCGGAUUGUAAACUCCUUUUCUCAGGGAAGAGCGAGGACGGUACCUGGGGAAUAAGUCACGGCUAACUACGUGCCAGCAGCCGCGGUAAUACGUAGGUGGCAAGCGUUAUCCGGAAUUACUGGGCGUAAAGCGCACGCAGGUGGCGGCUUAAGUCUGACGUGAAAGCUCCUGGCUUAACUGGGAGAGGUCGUUGGAGACUGGGCGGCUUGAGGCGAGGAGAGGGGUGUAGAAUUCCCGGUGUAGUGGUGGAAUGCGUAGAGAUCGGGAGGAAUACCAGUGGCGAAAGCGGCACCCUGGCCUUGGCCUGACGCUCAGGUGCGAAAGCGUGGGGAGCGAACGGGAUUAGAUACCCCGGUAGUCCACGCCGUAAACGAUGAAUACUAGGUGUAGGUGGUGUCAAAACUAUCUGUACCGCAGCUAACGCGCUAAGUAUUCCGCCUGGGGAGUACGACCGCAAGGUUAAAACUUAAAGGAAUUGACGG